CGAGCCGCGCCUGUCUGCGCCGCGAGCCGAGCCGGUCUUCAACCUCCAAGCCGAGCCGAUCCCUGUCCUUUUUCCAGCCGAGCCGCCAAGCCUAAUUUGGCUCCUUCCACCUAAUUUUUGGGACGUCUUGGACCAAGUAACUGCUGCAGUGUGGGAUUUCUUCAGUAGGGGCUCGAGCAUUGCAACCUCUUUCUAGGGUAGAGGACGAGGCAAGGGCAAAGGCAAGCUGGCGAGCGACCCGAAGUGACCGUGGCGAG